rnacentral:rRNA from 1 species
AGUACUGUUUAAUUCGAAGAUACACGAAGAACCUUACCAGGUCUUGACAUACCAUUGACAGGCGCAGAGAUGUGCUCUCCUUCGGGCAAUGGAUACAGGUGGUGCAUGGUUGUCGUCAGCUCGUGCCGUGAGGUGUUGGGUUAAGUCCCGCAACGAGCCGCAACCCUCAUUGUUAGUUACUACCAUUCAGUUGAGGACUCUAAUGAGACUGCCAACGAUAAGUUGGAGGAAGGUGGGGAUGACGUCAAAUCAUCAUGCCCUUUAUGACCUGGGCUACAAACGUACUACAAUGGCCAAUACAAAGAGAUGCGAAGCGGUGACGUGGAGCGAACCUACAGAAAGUUGGUCUCAGUUCAGAUUGAAGUCUGCAACUCGACUUCAUGAAGGCGGAAUCGCUAGUAAUCGCGGGUCAGCAGACCGCGGUGAAUACGUUCCCGGGUUUU